rnacentral:rRNA from 1 species
UACGUAGGGUGCAAGCGUUGUCCGGAAUCAUUGGGCGUAAAGAGCUCGUAGGCGGUCUGUCGCGUCUGCUGUGAAAACCUGGGGCUUAACCCCGGGCUUGCAGUGGGUACGGGCAGACUAGAGUGCGGUAGGGGAGACUGGAAUUCCUGGUGUAGCGGUGAAAUGUGUAGAGAUCGGGAGGAACACCGGUGGCGAAGGCGGGUCUCUGGGCAACUCCUGACGCUGAGGCGCGAAAGCGUGGGGAGCAAACGGG